UUUGUCUGUUUGUUACUCACAAGCUUGAUGCUUGAGUGAACAGGAUGAAGAAUAGGGUUAAUUUGAAUAGAAUGUCAUUGAGCACGUAAUAGAGUAAAGGGCGUGUGUGGCCGUGGUAUGGCCAUUCUAGCCUGCGUCCACCACGCGCUAGGUCGGUAUUUUUAAUAACGACCAUAAUACAUGGUAAAUUCCAUUUAAAAGAAGAUGAGACACUUUGAGUAUGUAUACGUACCAGUAAGUUAUGCAUUCAAGAAUUACACAAUGUAUAAGGGACAGGCCACAAGGUUUUCCAGAGUUUUACCUCAUAUAGUUUUAUCUCUGGUUUUUCACCCUGGGCAAAGUCAGUUAUAGAGCAAAAUCAUAGAUCUAUAAUAAUACAGUAUUAAUUACAAUUUAAGUUACAGCAGCGUUAUUGAAAGUGAGCUAUAUACGAAGACCUCAAUCGUGGAAAAAGAGCUUCCAUCGAAUGUUUUUGUUAUUACAAUGUAUACAGCAAUUUGAAUGUAAACAUGUGAUUUUUGAACUGUAUUAAUGAACUGAAAAUAACUCAGCCGACGCUAGCCAUGGCGACAGGCUACAUGCAACUAAUUGUGAUGUUUGCAUGUAUAAUUAUUGAAUGGUGAAAGGGACUAUAGUUAGCGCAAGUAGUGCGCAUAGAACAGACUCGAUAUAAUGAACACGUCUUGAAAGAAUUACGUCUUUAUGGAUUAGGGAAACAGCGCUAUCUGAUCGUACGGUGUAAAUAUACAAUUUGUAGGAUGCAGUCAGUCCCUUACAGUGAGGUACAUUAAUAACAAAAAUGCUUAGGAUCGUUA